rnacentral:tRNA from 1 species
CGCCUUGUUGGCCGAGGGCCGCGCGGCAGGUCUUGCGGGCUUGCGGCUGGGGAUUGAACGGCGCGGGAUCAAGCUCGCCGGGGCAC